GACAUGGCUUAGUGGAAAGAGCAUGGGUUUGGGAAACCGAGGAUAUGGGUUCUAAUCCCACUCUGUCA
rnacentral:tRNA from 1 species